ACGAACGCUGGCGGCGUGCGUAAGCUUAUGCAUGUCGAACGCGAACGGCUCCUUCGGGAGCCUAGUAGAGUGGCAAACGGGUGAGUAACGCGUGGGUAACGUACCCUGAUCCUGGGAAUAACCCUCGGAAACGAGGGCUAAUACCGAAUGUGGCGAACGACCGGUUGGUCGCUCGCUAAAGGUGGCCUCUUCUAUGCUGCCGGGUUGGGAUCGGUCCGCGUCCCAUUAGCUAGUUGGUGAGGUAACGGCUCACCAAUGCCACGAUGGGUAGCCGGCCUGAGAGGGUGUACGGUCACACUGGCACUGAGACAAGGGCCAGUCCCCUAUGGGAGGCGCAUGCGGGAAUAGUUCACAAUGGGCGAAAGCCUGAUGACGCGACGCCGCGUGAGCGAAGAAGACCUUCGGGUUGUAAAGCUCUGUCAGGAGGGAAGAAGGCUCUACGGGUUAAUAGCCCGUGGAAUUGACGGUACCUCCAGAGGAAGCCCCGGCUAAAUACGUGCCAGCAGCCGCGGUAAUACGUAUGGGGCAAGCGUUGUCCGGAUUUACUGGGCGUAAAGGGCGCGUAGGCGGUUCUGUUAAGUCGAAGGUGAAAUCCUCGGGCUCAACUCGAGAAUUGCCUUCGAUACUGGCAAACUAGAGUGGCGGAGAGGAAAGCGGAACUCUUGGUGUACCGGUGGAAUGUGUGGAUAUCCAGAGGAACACCGGUGGCGAAGGCGGCUUUCUGGACGCACACUGACGCUCA
rnacentral:rRNA from 1 species